rnacentral:rRNA from 1 species
GUAGGGAAUAUUGCACAAUGGGCGCAAGCCUGAUGCAGCAACGCCGCGUGCGCGAUGAAGGCCUUCGGGUCGUAAAGCGCUUUUCGGGGAGAUGAGGAAGGACAGUAUCCCCGGAAUAAGGCUCGGCUAACUACGUGCCAGCAGCCGCGGUAAAACGUAGGAGCCAAGCGUUAUCCGAAUUCACUGGGCGUAAAGCGUGUGCAGGCGGACGGAUAAGUUGGGUGUAAAAUCUCCUGGCUCAACUGGGAGAGGCCGCUCAAUACUGUACGUCUCGAGGGCAACAGAGGGAGGUGGAAUUCCCGGUGUAGUGGUGAAAUGCGUAGAUAUCGGGAGGAACACCAGUGGCGAAAGCGGCCUCCUGGGUUGCACCUGACGCUCAGACACGAAAGCUAGGGGAGCGAACGGGAUUAGAUACCCUAGUAGUCC